GGCCGCGUCGACCUGGCUCAGGAUGAACGCUGGCGGCGUGCCUAACACAUGCAAGUCGAGCGAUCUUCUUCGGAAGAGAGCGGCGACGGGUGAGUAACGCGUGGGUAACCUGCCCUGUACACACGGAUAACAUACCGAAAGGUAUGCUAAUACGAGAUGAUAUAUAAAAGUUGCAUGACUUUUAUAUCGAAGCUUUUGCGGUACAGGAUGGGACCCGCGUCUGAUUAGCUAGUUGGUAAGGUAACGGCUUACCAAGGCGACGAUCAGUAGCCGACCUGAGAGGGUGAUCGGCCACACUGGAACUGAGACACGGUCCAGACUCCUACGGGAGGCAGCAGUGGGGAAUCUUCCGCAAUGGACGAAAGUCUGACGGA
rnacentral:rRNA from 1 species